AGGGUUUGAUUCUGGCUCAGGACGAACGCUGGCGGCGCGCCUAACACAUGCAAGUCGAACGAGAGAGGGGGAGCUUGCUCCCUUGAUCGAGUGGCGAACGGGUGAGUAACGCGUGAGGAACCUGCCUCAAAGAGGGGGACAACAGUUGGAAACGACUGCUAAUACCGCAUAAGCCCACGGCUCGGCAUCGAGCAGAGGGAAAAGGAGUGAUCCGCUUUGAGAUGGCCUCGCGUCCGAUUAGCUAGUUGGUGAGGUAACGGCCCACCAAGGCGACGAUCGGUAGCCGGACUGAGAGGUUGAACGGCCACAUUGGGACUGAGACACGGCCCAG
rnacentral:rRNA from 1 species